CAGGAGCUUGCUCUUGUGGAUCAGUGGCGAACGGGUGAGUAACACGUGAGCAACCUGCCCCUGACUCUGGGAUAAGCGCUGGAAACGGCGUCUAAUACUGGAUAUGUGACGUGACCGCAUGGUCUGCGUUUGGAAAGAUUUUUCGGUUGGGGAUGGGCUCGCGGCCUAUCAGCUUGUUGGUGAGGUAAUGGCUCACCAAGGCGUCGACGGGUAGCCGGCCUGAGAGGGUGACCGGCCACACUGGGACUGAGACACGGCCCAGACUCCUACGGGAGGCAGCAGUGGGGAAUAUUGCACAAUGGGCGAAAGCCUGAUGCAGCAACGCCGCGUGAGGGAUGACGGCCUUCGGGUUGUAAACCUCUUUUAGCAGGGAAGAAGCGAAAGUGACGGUACCUGCAGAAAAAGCGCCGGCUAACUACGUGCCAGCAGCCGCGGUAAUACGUAGGGCGCAAGCGUUAUCCGGAAUUAUUGGGCGUAAAGAGCUCGUAGGCGGUUUGUCGCGUCUGCUGUGAAAUCCCGAGGCUCAACCUCGGGCCUGCAGUGGGUACGGGCAGACUAGAGUGCGGUAGGGGAGAUUGGAAUUCCUGGUGUAGCGGUGGAAUGCGCAGAUAUCAGGAGGAACACCGAUGGCGAAGGCAGAUCUCUGGGCCGUAACUGACGCUGAGGAGCGAAAGGGUGGGGAGCAAACAGGCUUAGAUACCCUGGUAGUCCACCCCGUAAACGUUGGGAACUAGUUGUGGGGUCCAUUCCACGGAUUCCGUGACGCAGCUAACGCAUUAAGUUCCCCGCCUGGGGAGUACGGCCGCAAGGCUAAAACUCAAAGGAAUUGACGGGGACCCGCACAAGCGGCGGAGCAUGCGGAUUAAUUCGAUGCAACGCGAAGAACCUUACCAAGGCUUGACAUAUACGAGAACGGGCCAGAAAUGGUCAACUCUUUGGACACUCGUAAACAGGUGGUGCAUGGUUGUCGUCAGCUCGUGUCGUGAGAUGUUGGGUUAAGUCCCGCAACGAGCGCAACCCUCGUUCUAUGUUGCCAGCACGUAAUGGUGGGAACUCAUGGGAUACUGCCGGGGUCAACUCGGAGGAAGGUGGGGAUGACGUCAAAUCAUCAUGCCCCUUAUGUCUUGGGCUUCACGCAUGCUACAAUGGCCGGUACAAAGGGCUGCAAUACCGUGAGGUGGAGCGAAUCCCAAAAAGCCGGUCCCAGUUCGGAUUGAGGUCUGCAACUCGACCUCAUGAAGUCGGAGUCGCUAGUAAUCGCAGAUCAGCAACGCUGCGGUGAAUACGUUCCCGGGUCUUGUACACACCGCCCGUCAAGUCAUGAAAGUCGGUAACACCUGAAGCCGGUGGCCUAACCCUUGG
rnacentral:rRNA from 1 species